UACAGAGGUGGCAAGCGUUGUUCGGAAUUACUGGGCGUAAAGGGCGCGUAGGCGGCCUCCUAAGUCAGACGUGAAAUCCCCGGGCUCAACCUGGGAACUGCAUUUGUGACUGCACGGCUGGAGUGCGGCAGAGGGGGAUGGAAUUCCGCGUGUAGCAGUGAAAUGCGUAGAUAUGCGGAGGAAUACCGAUGGCGAAGGCAAUCCCCUGGGCCUGCACUGACGCUCAUGCACGAAAGCGUGGGGAGCAAACAGG
rnacentral:rRNA from 1 species